CUUAUUAUCAGAAAAAAGUCGGUUGAAAUUAAUUUCCUAUCAAAAUAUAUUGUGAACAGAUAGGAUUAAAUAUAACAGCUAUUUCAAUAAACUAAUUUGGUACAUACACAAUUAAAUUUUAAUUUAAACAUUUUGGAUAUUAAUCAUGCUAUUCUUAGAUUUUAGCCUGUUUGUAUAUGACAUUUAAAAUUUUACAUGACAUUUCUUAAAUAACAUGUAUUAAUUUAAAUAAUUUGUAUUUUUUUGUAUUGCAAUUGGCAAAGAGCAAGCCUUGAGUAUGUCAACAAUUCUGUUCCGAUUCUUCUCAAUGCUGAAACUGUGGAACCCAAUCGUAAUAAAUUCAAAAAGAACUACGAACUCGAAUUACGCUUUACUGAAUCAAGGUCGCGAUGCCAGCGACAGAGCGUCCGGAAUGCAAAACAAAGUCGCGAUCAAAGCGACAACGACGAUGUCGUGCAAACUAGACACACAAUCGCGACAGCAGCGACAAUUAUUCAGGAAAACGCGUCCGGGCUCAACAGCGUUGCGAUCGGAACUGCGAGCUGUUACGGUUAAACUUGUUAUUGACAGGUCACAUUAGCAAUCGUAAUUGUUUUUUUGCAGAUUACAGACACUAAUAAAACUAAGAACACUAGCUUAAAAUUGUCCGUCACUAUGAAAUAUGUAUUUUCAAGAUUUCAAAAAAGAUAUUCAUUGUUAUCAUAUCAGAUUUAUUCGCGCCGGUAAGAAGCUAUAUUUGUUUACAUUUACUAAUUUUCUUAGUAUUGCUGCAUUUUCAUUAAAAUCUAAGGUUUACA